rnacentral:rRNA from 1 species
GACGAACGCUGGCGGCGUGCUUAACACAUGCAAGUCGAACGGAAAGGCCCUGCUUUUGUGGGGUGCUCGAGUGGCGAACGGGUGAGUAACACGUGAGUAACCUGCCCUUGACUUUGGGAUAACUUCAGGAAACUGGGGCUAAUACCGGAUAGGAGCUCCUGCUGCAUGGUGGGGGUUGGAAAGUUUCGGCGGUUGGGGAUGGACUCGCGGCUUAUCAGCUUGUUGGUGGGGUAGUGGCUUACCAAGGCUUUGACGGGUAGCCGGCCUGGGAGGGUGACCGGCCACAUGGGGACUGAGAUACGGCCCAGACUCCUACGGGGGGCAGCAGUGGGGAAUAUUGCACAAUGGGCGGAAGCCUGAUACAGCAACGCCGCGUGCGGGAUGACGGCCUUCGGGUUGUAAACCGCUUUCGCCUGUGACGAAGCGUGAGUGACGGUAAUGGGUAAAGAAGCACCGGCUAACUACGUG